ensembl:lincRNA Gm17322 predicted gene, 17322
ACCUGUCUCUGUGGUCUGUAUAGAGCACCGCUCAGCAGCAAUUGCUCUGCAAAGCCUUAAGCUCUGCCGAAUACUAACCUGGCCCGCCUCGGGCAGUGCUGAAGGCGACAGCCUCCGGAGAGCUUGUGCAAAUAUAUACUUUGAAGUCUGGCGGGUACCCCCCAACUUCCGGUUCCAGGAUCGCCCUUUCUGGAGGUGACACUUCUUCAUGCGUGCUCUCUCUAUCCGCAGGAGCUGAGAGCUACUGACCCGAGCACUCCUGAACCCUCUCUCAUGGCUGCAGACAUCUGGCUCAACAUGGGAUUCAAACAACAGAAAUCAAGCAUACUGAAACCCUAAGGAGGAUGUGUCAUAUUACACUCUACACAACUACAAAGUGUCAAGGAAAGCCAGCCGGCCUCUGGGGCUGGCAUCUGUGCAGCUUUCUACAAACUGAUUCUUUGUGGCUGUAGAAUGGUUAUUACCUUUCUGGGGCUAGUGCUCAGGUUACAAGCGGCUGUGAAGGAUGUCUUCAAACUCCUUGAGACUGCACCUGGGUGCGGUGGAUAACAGCAGCAGGAACCUGAUGGCUACAGGUCUGGAAGAGCAGCUGUCAGGAUCGGGAGAAGGGAUGCUGAUGGCCAACACAGUCCUGCGUUGGAAAGAGCCUAGUUUUCACGGCAUUGUGGGGUGUGGUCCAUGCUGUUCCUCAUUAGUAUCUGCGACCAUCUGUGCUGGCAGGUGCUUCCUGCUUUGUUAUGCUUUUGUGUCUGGCUGACUACCUUGUUUCCAUCCUGGCACGUAGAAUUUUUAACUACAGUAAAUGAACCACUUAAAGAACAGCAACCAUUUCAUGACAUGGGCAUCAAUCUAUUAAAAACUCAGCAGGGCUUUGGACGGGCUUUGGACGGGUGGAAACACAUCUUUCUGCUAAAGAAGAAGAGCCUAAAAUGUACUUGACCUUGAUCACCAUAGUCCUUUCCUUUGUGCAGUUGAUUGGGUGGGACGGCGAGUUCACAGGCUGCGUACCUGAUGGUGACGUCUGUGCUGUUGCUUUGUGAACUAAGACAUCGUGAGCUGGUUUGAAAGUAUAUUGGGAUGGGCAAGUGUUAGAUGAACAAGCCUCGAAAGCAAAAAGCAAAGGAGAGUGAACGGUGCAUCGGCUUCCUUCUGUGUGGUUAGCGGAGUGGAGCAGUCUCACUCCUCUUUUGGACACCACCACUUCACAGAAGUGGUUUUUUUGCUGCAUCCACUUUGCUGGUGAUGACAGACAUUGGCGUGUAGUGUCUUAGUGUCGUCCAGUAUAGGUGGGUACAUGCUCAGCUGCAGCCCUUAAGUGGACCACUCCUUGGUGAUUAUGAAUAACUCCGAUCCCCCCUUCAAGGCUGAUUGCAAUUUUACUUUUGAUGACGCCCUUUACAAUACUAAACCGAUGAACUUUAGCAGAGUGGGUGGAGGGUCUGCACAGUUGUUGGAGCUUGCUUUAGCUAGAAUGGUCUGUAGCUACUGGGAACUGUUUCUAGUUUCUGCUUCGGGGUCUGCUUGAAAGUCUGGUUUCACAAAUACAGAGAUCAAAUUCACCACUUAAUUUUUUAUUAUUUAUUUAUUUACUCAUUUAUUUAUUUUGAGACAGGGUCUCAUCACGUAGCUCUGGCUGGCCUCAAACUCAUGGAGCUUUGAAAUACAAUCUCGAAUACAGCCUUUUGGAAGUUCGCCUUUCAAAAGUCCUGAAGGACUUGCUAACUUGAAGUGGUACACAGGGAAAUGGAGCUUGAUGCAAAGCAGCCAGAUUCACCAGUGGGACAAGGGGUGGUGCUUCAUAAAGAUUGCUCCCUGCCUACGUCAUAGGCAUUCUACUCCUGAGAGGAAUGCAUCUUCAGUGGCCCUCUCAUCACAUGGUAAACCUACCUUCCAGACAGGGUGGCUCCCUGUGAGUUCAAGGCCAGCCUGGUUUACAUAGGAGGUUGUAGGCCAGCAUGGGCUUCUGUGGUGAGACCCCGUCUCAAAACAAAGCAAAAACCAAUCAAAGUAUGCAAAACAGAACAACCUAAGACCUAACAACAGCAAAAGUGAGCUGCAAAAUUCUCAUUUCACCAGUGAUACUUGCCGUAUUUCAGUCACUAAAGGUCCCCUCGGCCCCACCCGAUCCCCAAGAGACAGUAAUAGCAGUGUCUACGUUUCUUGUCAUUCCUCC